GAGGCUCCACAUACCCACAGCUGCAGGCUGAAUUCUCCCAAGGGGGACUGCCUGAGCCCUGGCCUAAAGGCUGCCCUGGACUUGCCCCACACAUAUCCUUCAAAGGGUGCAGAGGAAAUAACCUGGAUGAGGCGAGUAGGGGAAGCUUAUCAAGGGACAGACCCACUAUGAUCACAGCCCCAGAAGGACAAGUAGAAUAUUUGAAAAAAUAAUGUCUGAAAAUGGUUGGGUUCAAUGAAAACUGUAAACCUAGAGUUUAAAGAAGCCUUUUGAAUACCAAGCAUCAGAUACAAAAAGAAUAUCAUGGCAAAACAGACCAUAGACUGCCGAAAACCAGUGUGAGAAAAAUCUUAGGAGCAUCCAGAAAAUAGUAAAAGUUAUAGACACAGGAUCAAGGCAGACUUUUUGAUAGAAACCAAGUAGAAGAUAAUGCAAGACAUUUUCAAAUGUGAAAAGAGAAGAGUAUCAAUCUUCACUAUAAAUCUAGCAAAAAUACUCAAAAAUGAAAAAUGAAGGUAUAGGGCUGGUACACAGCGUUAAGCCACCUUCAAUGGUGCUGGCAGCCCAUCUGAGUGCAGGUUUGAGAACCAGCUAUUCUCCUUCCAAUCCAACAUCCUGCUAAUGUGCCAUGGAAUGCAGCUGAAGAUGGUCCACGUUUUUGGACCCCUGCAUCCAUGUGACAGACCUGAACUGAAUUCCUGGUUCUCAGUCUGGCAAUGACCUAUUGGCUAACUCCUCACCUUGCAUGCACUGGAAUCCCAUAUGGGUGCUGGCUCAUGUCCUGGCUGCUCCACUUCCCAUCCAGCUCCCUGCUUAUGGCCUGGGAAGGUAGUAAAAGAUGGCCCAAAGCCUUGGGACCCUGCACCCGCAUGAGAGAUCCGGAAGAAGAUCCUGGCUCCUGUCUUCAAGUUGCAUUGGCUCAGUUCCAGCUGUUAGCCUUACCUUGACAUGACUGCCUUCUUUAUCAGAGACAAGUGCCACGUAGGUGAUUUUGUGAUGUCUGCAGUACUCCUGUAGUUCCUCUUGGGACUGAAAUCAAUGAGCAGUGCAUACAAUGAACAGACAGCACCUGGGGCAGCUUCAGCAAUCAGCAACUCAUACUGAAAGCAACUCCAAUGACAGAGAUAAAGGGAGUGUGACAAUGCAGAGGCACACGGGAGGAUUUCACCUGGAGGUCCCCACCAUUCUCACUUCACUCACAGCACAC